rfam:Lupinus angustifolius cultivar Tanjil chromosome LG20, whole genome shotgun sequence.
GAGCUAUGAAGAUCUUGCAUUAACUGUGAUGGCUGGGUCUGUCACCAACACCUUUCAGGUGAAUUAGUAGUGCUUCUGAGUUC